CACCGCGGUUAUACGAGAGACUCAAGUUGACAGUCAUCGGCGUAAAGAGUGGUUAAGAUGAAUAAAAACUAAAGCUAAAUACCUUCAAAGCUGUUAUACGUUCUCGAAGGUGAGAAACCCAACUACGAAAGUGGCUUUAUUAUAUCUGACCCCACGAAAGCUAGGGUA
rnacentral:rRNA from 1 species